rnacentral:rRNA from 1 species
CCUACGGUAGACAGCAGUGGGGGAUAUUGCACAAUGGGGGGAACCCUGAUGCAGCGACGCCGCGUGGGUGAAGGAGUGCUUCGGCAUGUAAAGCCCUAUCGGCAGGGAAGAAGCAAGACGGUACCUGACUAAGAAGCCCCGGCUAACUACGUGCCAGCAGCCGCGGUAAUACGUAGGGGGCGAGCGUUAUCCGGAUUCACUGGGUGUAAAGGGAGCGUAGACGGCCAUGCAAGCCAGGGGUGAAAGCCCGGGGCCCAACCCCGGGACUGCCCUUGGACCGGCAGGGCGGUGGUGCGGUGGGGGAAGGGGGAAUUCCGGGUGUAGCGGGGAAAGGCGUAGAUAUCAGGGGGAACACCGGCGGCGAGGGCGGCCUGCGGGACCGCGACUGACGUUGGGGCUGGAAAGCGUGGGAGCGAACAGGAUUAGAUACCCGGGUAGUC